ACGCCUCAACUCUCGUGGUUUGCCAUGGUGAGCUUGGACUCUGGGGGUCUUGCUGGCCUUAUGGUCAGCUCCUCUCAAAUGAAUCGGCUUCCCAGUGUUUGGUGGCAUCACAGGUGUGAUAACUAUCUACGCUUGUGGUGUCCUCCCAGGUAACCUUCAGCGAUGGAGGUCACUGGAGCUAAUAAAUGCACAUCUCUCAUCGUAGAGACGGCUUUUUAGAU
rnacentral:misc_RNA from 1 species